GGUAGGAUUUAGGGGGAGGGUAGGGUUGGGAGUACAGUUAGGGUUAGGCUAGGGGUAGGGUUAGGAAUAGAGUUAGGGUUACCCUACCCCUACCCUAACCCCACUCCAACCACUAACCCUACCCCAACCACUAACCCUACCCCUAAACCUAACCCUAAUCCUACCCCUAACCCUACCUCUACCUCUACCCCAACCUCUAACCCUACCCCAACCCUCUCCUGUUUUGCC